AAAAUGCGAUAAGUAAUGUGAAUUGCAGAAUUCAGUGAAUCAUCGAAUCUUUGAACUCACAUUGCGCCCGCCAGUAUUCUGGCGGGCAUGUCUGUUCGAGCGUCAUUUCAACCCUCAAGCCCCCGGGUUUGGUGUUGGGGAUCGGGCUGCGGUUCUGCCGCGGCCCGGCCCCGAAAUCUAGUGGCGGUCUCGCUGCAGCCUCCAUUGCGUAGUAGCUAACACCUCGCAACUGGAACGCGGCGCGGCCAAGCCGUUAAACCCCCCAACUUCUGAAUGUUGACCUCGGAUCAGGUAGGAAUACCCGCUGAACUUAAGC
rnacentral:misc_RNA from 1 species